rnacentral:tRNA from 1 species
UGAAAGCUGGUGAAUAAAACACAAAUGAAUUUGAAUCAUUAGAAGGAAUUAAAAAUUCCGUUUUCAA